rnacentral:rRNA from 1 species
GCCGCAUGCAGGUAAACGGGUGGCGUCAAGCUGCGAGCCCGGAGGAUUCAGCUGACUGGGGUGUAGUGUACGCGCGCCUGGUGCGUCGAGAGGCCGGAGUAAGAUGUUUGUGUGGCGGUUCACUCCUCUGAUGGGAGUGAGGUGCGAUCGGUGUGCGCUUGCGUGUGCCGGUUGUCGCCAUGCUUGCCGGGUGGGUGCCGGAGCAUGCCGUUCGUCUGUUGGGCCGCCUAGUCAGUGCAUUUUCUCCGUGGUGAACACCACGACCGGUGGAACUGCCAGUCUGCUGUAAUCAAGUCGUGCUGCCCUAAUGCUUCACUGUGUUGGGGUUGGUACGAUCGCAGGCGGAGUCGGUGGACGGCGCAGUGGUGCUUCGGUACUGCCGCGUGUUAUCGUGCACUCUCUGUCGUAAGCGACUAGUGGGGUUGACUGAGUGCUGUGACUACUUCCUCGCUGGUCGGUGGAUUGCAGUGGUGAAAGGGACUGUGCAGGGCACCGGAGUUGUCCACCUCAUUCAAUAUGGUACCCGGCACGCACGUUACAGGUGCUAUGCAAAUUGGGAUGUGCCGCUGUCCGCCUGGUGUUGGGCCUGACUGUCGUGUUGCCCGCGCAAAGUGGGUCCGGCAGUGGUCUCGGCGCCUGGCGGUCGCAGUGUGUGCGCGCGUCUCAGGUGUCUGUGGUAUCGGGGGUGAAAUAGUCAGUGGUGCUGUGGUAGACGAGCUACCCGACCCGUCUUGAAACACGGACCAAGGAGUUUAACAUGUGUGCGAGUCAAAGGGUCCUACGAAACCCCGAGGCGCAGUGAAAGUGAAGUUCAUGCUGUACUUCUGCACAUACGCAGUACAGUGUGGCGAGGUGAGAUCUCGUUGUACUCAUGACACACGCCGCAGACCUUACUGGGCAUUAAACUGGGGCAACGAGCGCAUCACCGGCCCGUCCCAUGAUGUGGUCAUAGGCGUUCACUUGGUGCUGUGUGCUGGCGUUCGUCGUCCGUAUGCAGCGUCAGAGCCUGUGCGUCAUCGGGGCGGAGCAUGAGCACACACGUUGAGACCCGAAAGAUGGUGAAUUAUGCUUGCGUAGGUUGAAGCCAGAGGAAACUCUGGUGGAGGACCGUAGCGAUUCUGACGUGCAAAUCGAUCGUCAAACGU